AGCAGGGUGGCACAGUGGUAAGGAGCACGGCUCGUAACCGGAAGGUUACUGGUUCAAUUCCCCACUAAGGCACUGCUG